rnacentral:snRNA from 1 species
GGAACUCGUGCUCCAUAGAGAAGAUUCUCCAGAGAGAAGAUUAGUGAGGCCCCGUGCAAGGAUGACAUGCAAAUUCGUGAAGCGUUCCAUAUUUUA